rnacentral:rRNA from 1 species
ACGGGGUGCAGCAGGCGCGAAAACUUUGCAAUGUGCGAAAGCACGACAAGGUUAAUCCGAGUGGCCUCUGCUGAAGAGGUCUUUUGACAGUCCUAGAAACACUGUCGAAUAAGGGGUGGGCAAGUUCUGGUGUCAGCCGCCGCGGUAAAACCAGCACCUCAAGUGGUCAGGAUGAUUAUUGGGCCUAAAGCAUCCGUAGCCGGAUCUAUAAGUUUUCGGUUAAAUCUAUGCGCUCAACGUAUAGGCUGCCGGAAAUACUGUGGAUCUAGGGAGUGGGAGAGGUAGACGGUACUCGGUAGGAAGAGGUAAAAUUCACUAAUCUAUCGAUGACCACCUGUGGCGAAGGCGGUCUACCAGAACACGUCCGACGGUGAGGGAUGAAAGCUGGGGGAGCAAACCGGAUUAGAUACCCGGGUAGUCCACACCCUAAACGAUGCACACUUGGUGUCGGCCCGUUGGGGUCGGCGCCGGAGCUAACGCGUUAAGUGUGCCGCCUGGGAAGUACGUACGCAAGUAUGAAACUUAAAGGAAUUGGCGGGGGAGCAC